UUGGUUUUGUGGUUAAGACACGGGGCUAAUAUCCUGGGUGUCGCAGGUUCGAGCCCGGCAG
rnacentral:tRNA from 1 species